UUCAUCCAUUGGUGGUUCCACUUCCAUCAAGCCAUUUCCAGAACCAUGAAGAGUCUCGGUUUGGUUCUAGCUCUCAUGGUAGCCGCGUCCGCCAUGUCGGUUGAAACUGCUCCUUCUGCAACGCUGACCACCCCUAAACCGGCGCCGUACACCAUUGAAUACUCCCAGAACCUGAAGGAAGUUCCAUGUCCUGCUCCUUGCGACAAGAAGUGCUGUGGCUGCAUCUACUAUCGGUCGACCAUGCCCGAGUGCAUCUUCUGUCACGACAAAUGCCCAGGUGCUUGAUGCAAAAGAUGGAAGACCGUUGCUCAGAUGUUAUCAGAGAGAAUCGCUACCAACCUUAUCUUGACUUGUUCUUGAUAAUAACAGUCUUCUCUCAAAUAAAAAUUUAUCCGUUGGCAUGUUCUUGUCCAUGCUGUUUGGUAGUCUACUGUUCUUCUCAGAAGAAUGGAAGCCAUCUAUGAAAGCCAAGGGUGGAAACAUA